UUUUCUGUCAGGAUGAACGCUGGCGGUCUGCUUAACACAUGCAAGUCGAACGGGGUAGAAAUACCAAGUGGCGGACGGGUGAGUAACACGUGAGAAUCUAGCUUCAGGUUCGGGACAACAGAGGGAAACCGCUGCUAAUACCGGAUAUGCCUUAGGGUAAAAGAUUAAUUGCCAGAAGAUGAGCUCGCGGCCGAUUAGCUAGUUGGUGGGGUAAAAGCGUACCAAGGCGACGAUCGGUAGCUGGUCUGAGAGGACGAUCAGCCACACUGGGACUGAGACACGGCCCAGACUCCUACGGGAGGCAGCAGUGGGGAAUUUUCCGCAAUGGGCGAAAGCCUGACGGAGCAAGACCGCGUGAGGGAGGAAGGCUCUUGGGUUGUAAACCUCUUUUCUCAGGGAAGAAGCACUGACGGUACCUGAGGAAUCAGCAUCGGCUAACUCCGUGCCAGCAGCCGCGGUAAUACGGAGGAUGCAAGCGUUAUCCGGAUUUAUUGGGCGUAAAGCGUCCGCAGGUGGUAGUUCAAGUCGAUUGUCAAAGGCAGUAGCUUAACUACUGAGAGGCAGUGGAAACUGAAAGACUAGAGUGCGGUAGGGGUAGAGGGAAUUCCCGGUGUAGCGGUGAAAUGCGUAGAGAUCGGGAAGAACACCAGUGGCGAAAGCGCUCUGCUGGACCGGCACUGACACUGAGGGACGAAAGCUAGGGGAGCGAAUGGGAUUAGAUACCCCAGUAGUCCUAGCCGUAAACGAUGGAGACUAUGUGUGGCAAGUAUCGACCCGCCCCCG
rnacentral:rRNA from 1 species